UACAGAGGUCUCAAGCGUUGUUCGGAUUCAUUGGGCGUAAAGGGUGCGUAGGUGGCGCGCUAAGUCAGGUGUGAAAUUUCGGAGCUUAACUCCGAAACUGCAUUUGAUACUGGUGUGCUUGAGGACUGGAGAGGAGACUGGAAUUCAUGGUGUAGCAGUGAAAUGCGUAGAGAUCAGGAAGAACACCCGUGGCGAAGGCGGCUCUCUGGGACGGUACUGACGCUGAGACGCGAAAGCGUGGGGAGCGAACAGG
rnacentral:rRNA from 1 species